UGGGGUAUAUUGGACAAUGGGGGAAACCCUGAUCCAGCAAUGCCGCGUGAAUGAAGAAGGCCUUAGGGUUGUAAAGUUCUUUCACCUGUGAAGAUAAUGACGGUAGCAGGAGAAGAAGCUCCGGCUAACUCCGUGCCAGCAGCCGCGGUAAUACGGAGGGGGCUAGCGUUGUUCGGAAUUACUGGGCGUAAAGGGCGCGUAGGCGGCCACCGCAAGUCGACUGUGAAAUCUCCGGGCUUAACCCGGAAAGGUCAGCCGAUACUGCGGGGCUAGAGUGCAGAAGGGGCAACUGGAAUUCUCGGUGUAGCGGUGAAAUGCGUAGAUAUCGAGAGGAACACCUGCGGCGAAGGCGGGUUGCUGGGCUGACACUGACGCUGAUGCGCGAAAGCUAGGGGAGCGAAC
rnacentral:rRNA from 1 species